UGAGUAAUGCCUAGGAAAUUGCCCUGAUGUGGGGGAUAACCAUUGGAAACGAUGGCUAAUACCGCAUGAUGCCUACGGGCCAAAGAGGGGGACCUUCGGGCCUCUCGCGUCAGGAUAUGCCUAGGUGGGAUUAGCUAGUUGGUGAGGUAAGGGCUCACCAAGGCGACGAUCCCUAGCUGGUCUGAGAGGAUGAUCAGCCACACUGGAACUGAGACACGGUCCAGACUCCUACGGGAGGCAGCAGUGGGGAAUAUUGCACAAUGGGCGCAAGCCUGAUGCAGCCAUGCCGCGUGUGUGAAGAAGGCCUUCGGGUUGUAAAGCACUUUCAGUCGUGAGGAAGGUAGUGUAGUUAAUAGCUGCAUUAUUUGACGUUAGCGACAGAAGAAGCACCGGCUAACUCCGUGCCAGCAGCCGCGGUAAUACGGAGGGUGCGAGCGUUAAUCGGAAUUACUGGGCGUAAAGCGCAUGCAGGUGGUUUGUUAAGUCAGAUGUGAAAGCCCGGGGCUCAACCUCGGAAUUGCAUUUGAAACUGGCAGACUAGAGUACUGUAGAGGGGGGUAGAAUUUCAGGUGUAGCGGUGAAAUGCGUAGAGAUCUGAAGGAAUACCGGUGGCGAAGGCGGCCCCCUGGACAGAUACUGACACUCAGAUGCGAAAGCGUGGGGAGCAAACAGGAUUAGAUACCCUGGUAGUCCACGCCGUAAACGAUGUCUACUUGGAGGUUGUGGCCUUGAGCCGUGGCUUUCGGAGCUAACGCGUUAAGUAGACCGCCUGGGGAGUACGGUCGCAAGAUUAAAACUCAAAUGAAUUGACGGGGGCCCGCACAAGCGGUGGAGCAUGUGGUUUAAUUCGAUGCAACGCGAAGAACCUUACCUACU
rnacentral:rRNA from 1 species